AACGAACGCUGGCGGCAUGCCUUACACAUGCAAGUCGAACGGCAGCACGGGAGCAAUCCUGGUGGCGAGUGGCGAACGGGUGAGUAAUAUAUCGGAACGUGCCCAGUCGUGGGGGAUAACGUAGCGAAAGCUACGCUAAUACCGCAUACGAUCUAUGGAUGAAAGCGGGGGAUCGCAAGACCUCGCGCGAUUGGAGCGGCCGAUAUCAGAUUAGGUAGUUGGUGAGGUAAAGGCUCACCAAGCCGACGAUCUGUAGCUGGUCUGAGAGGACGACCGGCCACACUGGGACUGAGACACGGCCCAGACUCCUACGGGAGGCAGCAGUGGGGAAUUUUGGACAAUGGGCGCAAGCCUGAUCCAGCAAUGCCGCGUGCAGGAUGAAGGCC
rnacentral:rRNA from 1 species